GGGUGCCCCUGAAACUUUGUGCCUUCCUCAGCGUCUGUUUCAUCUUCACGAAUUGUAAGUAAUGUACGUAAGAAGGCAGUAAAAGCAAAAACAAACAAACGAAAACUCUCAAAAUGAUCUCCUUUUCCCCCCUGAGGACUUUCUGUGGGCUCUUUCAAAGUUCGAGUAGGCUCCACUUCCGGGACUUUCCUUAUCUAAUACAGCUUCCGUUCAGAGGUGAACGUGGGAGACAGGAAGAGGAUAAUUUUGGCCUCAACUAAAGCUCUGAGAGACUGAGAACAGGAAGUUGUAGCGGAAGCUGGAAGGGGAAAAUCCAAGCGAGACUACCCAAGGAAUUUCUUUUUGUAACAUUGGCGGGAGAUUGGUGUGACUGGGAAGUCCAGGGAGCUUUGGCUGGAAGGAAGUGGAGGCACAGGGCUGGCAGGAAGAGCCUGCCCUCAACUUUCACAAAGCCUGGCUACCUGGCCCCCCCAGGACCCCCUCCUCGUGACUCUACGCCUGGUCCUUGCUGUUCUAUCCUCACUUCUCUUUUGCUUGCUCUGCUUCGUCUCCCUCUUCCCAAUAGAUAUUCUGCAGACUUCCAUGCCCUGAUCAGGAAUGACCGCGGUAAUUAAAGCUCCAUGAGGACACAGGCUUUGCCUUGUAAACAGCCGAACCUCCUCAGUGCCAGGCACAUUACCAGAUAUUAACAAGUUUUUAUUGAGUGAAUGAGUGGCCUCUUAAUACCACAUCCUUCCCCUCAUCCAGGAUACAAGUCUUGGGUAUGUAAAACUUUGACUUGUCCAUGAAUCCCAUACUCAAAAAAAGAGUAUUGCCUGGAUAAUGUUUGCUCCAUUUCCAUGGCUCCUCUUCUCCCACAGAAGCCAUACAUUAAGAUCAGAUCGCUCAGCUCCAUAUAUAACUUCACCCAAACCUGUCUUUCACAAUAAUGGGGUCAAGUAUGUUUUCUUUCAUUACUGUGAGUGUGGUGAUAGAACAACAGAGUCUCUGGGCAGUUACCCCUCUAGCCUAUCCAUUGUGUAUAACACCAGGAAGUGCAUAUAGACAAACUAAUCAAUAAUAAGAAAAGCUGAGGACAAAAAUAAACUUUUUUUUUUUUCCUUGAGAUUUGAAGAACUGAAAAACAUCUUGUGACUAG
rnacentral:lncRNA from 1 species